rnacentral:rRNA from 1 species
GGAAUCUUCCACAAUGGGCGCAAGCCUGAUGGAGCAACGCCGCGUGAGUGAAGAAGGUCUUCGGAUCGUAAAACUCUGUUGUUAGAGAAGAACAUGCAGGAGAGUAACUGUUCUUGUAUUGACGGUAUCUAACCAGAAAGCCACGGCUAACUACGUGCUAG